GUGGGGAAUAUUGGACAAUGGGCGAAAGCCUGAUCCAGCCAUGCCGCGUGUGUGAAGAAGGUCUUCGGAUUGUAAAGCACUUUAAGUUGGGAGGAAGGGCAUUAACCUAAUACGUUAGUGUUUUGACGUUACCGACAGAAUAAGCACCGGCUAACUUCGUGCCAGCAGCCGCGGUAAUACGAAGGGUGCAAGCGUUAAUCGGAAUUAAUGGGCGUAAAGCGCGCGUAGGUGGUUCGUUAAGUUGGAUGUGAAAGCCCCGGGCUCAACCUGGGAACUGCAUCAAAAACUGGCGAGCUAGAGUACGGUAGAGGGUGGUGGAAUUUCCUGUGUAGCGGUGAAAUGCGUAGAUAUAGGAAGGAACACCAGUGGCGAAGGCGACCACCUGGACUGAUACUGACACUGAGGUGCGAAAGCGUGGGGAGCAAACAGGAUUAGAAACCCCUGUAGUCC
rnacentral:rRNA from 1 species